AUGCCUGGCGGCAGGCCUACCAUGCAAGUCGAGCGGAUGAAGAGAGCUUGCUCUCUGAUUCAGCGGCGGACGGGUGAGUAAUGCCUAGGAAUCUGCCUGGUAGUGGGGGACAACGUCUCGAAAGGGACGCUAAUACCGCAUACGUCCUACGGGAGAAAGCAGGGGACCUUCGGGCCUUGCGCUAUCAGAUGAGCCUAGGUCGGAUUAGCUAGUUGGUGAGGUAAUGGCUCACCAAGGCGACGAUCCGUAACUGGUCUGAGAGGAUGAUCAGUCACACUGGAACUGAGACACGGUCCAGACUCCUACGGGAGGCAGCAGUGGGGAAUAUUGGACAAUGGGCGAAAGCCUGAUCCAGCCAUGCCGCGUGUGUGAAGAAGGUCUUCGGAUUGUAAAGCACUUUAAGUUGGGAGGAAGGGCAGUAAGCGAAUACCUUGCUGUUUUGACGUUACCGACAGAAUAAGCACCGGCUAACUCUGUGCCAGCAGCCGCGGUAAU
rnacentral:rRNA from 1 species